rnacentral:rRNA from 1 species
GGAAUACUGCAGUCGAGCGGACAGAUGGGAGCUUGCUCCCUGAUGUUAGCGGCGGACGGGUGAGUAACACGUGGGUAACCUGCCUGUAAGACUGGGAUAACUCCGGGAAACCGGGGCUAAUACCGGAUGGUUGUUUGAACCGCAUGGUUCAAACAUAAAAGGUGGCUUCGGCUACCACUUACAGAUGGACCCGCGGCGCAUUAGCUAGUUGGUGAGGUAACGGCUCACCAAGGCAACGAUGCGUAGCCGACCUGAGAGGGUGAUCGGCCACACUGGGACUGAGACACGGCCCCAGACUCCUACGGGAGGCAGCAGUAGGGAAUCUUCCGCAAUGGACGAAAGUCUGACGGAGCAACGCCGCGUGAGUGAUGAAGGUUUUCGGAUCGUAAAGCUCUGUUGUUAGGGAAGAACAAGUACCGUUCGAAUAGGGCGGUACCUUGACGGUACCUAACCAGAAAGCCACGGCUAACUACGUGCCAGCAGCCGCGGAAAAACGUAAAAUAAAAGCGUUGUCCGGAAUUAUUGGGCGUAAAGGGCUCGCAGGCGGUUUCUUAAGUCUGAUGUGAAAGCCCCCGGCUCAACCGGGGAGGGUCAUUGGAAACUGGGGGAACUUGAGUGCAGAAGAGGAGAGUGGAAUUCCACGUGUAGCGGUGAAAUGCGUAGAGAUGUGGAGGAACACCAGUGGCGAAGGCGACUCUCUGGUCUGUAACUGACGCUGAGGAGCGAAAGCGUGGGGAGCGAACAGGAUUAGAUACCCUGGUAGUCCACGCCGUAAACGAUGAGUGCUAAGUGUUAGGGGGUUUCCGCCCCUUAGUGCUGCAGCUAACGCAUUAAGCACUCCGCCUGGGAGUACGGUCGCAAGACUGAAACUCAAAGGAAUUGACGGGGGCCCGCACAAGCGGUGGAGCAUGUGGUUUAAUUCGAAGCAACGCGAAGAACCUUAC